GCGCAUGUGGGGGGCAGAAGAAGGGGAAGUGCAGCUCGACGGCGACGAGGAGGAAGCCAAGUAGCCUCUCGCCGAGGAAGGAGGGUAUGAGGAGGAGGUCUAAAGCCCCAAGCUAAGUAGCGGCAGUGGGAAAGCGGCUGGAGGGCUGAAAUAAGGUGUUGGUUACAGUUGGUUUAUCAACACAGAACACCAUAUAUAUAUCAAAAUCUUUGUAGCUACCUAGAGUCUUCACGACGCGUUGCGACGUGCCCACCCUCCAACACACACAAUUACACAUACAAUUACACACACACACACACACACACACAGACACACACACAGACACACCCAUAGACAUAGGUAGGCAGACAGGUAGGCAGACAGGUAGGCAGACAGGUAGGCAGACAGUCAGGCAGACAGGUAGGCAGACAGGUAGGCAGACAGGUAGGCAGACAGGUAGGUAGGUAGGUAGGUAGUUAGGUAGGUUGGAGGUGUGCAUGCACCAAAGUGUUUCGUGGUGAAUAGAGUCAAAAGUCCUACUGAAGUUUAUCUGCAUCACGAUAAGUGGUCUGUCUCCGGGCAAUGUAUGCUAAGAAAUGAGGUGGCGCAGGGCAACACGGAGAAUUGAUUUCUCCGUUCCAGAGCCACACCUACAUCCCGCCUGUCUUGCGGCGCAGUUUCCGUUUUCCUCACAGAAUUUGUAACCCGGCUAGCGAUGAGCGCGGCGCACAACUUGCACAAAGGGUCCCCCACAGCGAUA
rnacentral:lncRNA from 1 species